rnacentral:rRNA from 1 species
GUGCACCAGGCGCGAAACCUUUACCAUGCACGAAAGUGUGAUAAGGUUACCCGGAGUGCCCAGAGAAAAACUGUGGGCUGUUAUAGGUGUGUAGAUAACCCUAUGAGAAAGGAGAGGGCAAGGCUGGUGCCAGCCGCCGCGGUAAAACCAGCUCUUCGAAGUGGUCGGGGACUUUUAUUGGGGCUUAAAAGUGUCCGUAG